rnacentral:rRNA from 1 species
AACGAACGCUGGCGGCAGGCCUAACACAUGCAAGUCGAACGAGAAGCUACCUUCGGGUAGUGGAUAGUGGCAGACGGGUGAGUAACGCGUGGGAACGUGCCUUUCGGUUCGGAAUAACUCAGGGAAACUUGGGCUAAUACCGGAUACGCCCUUCGGGGGAAAGAUUUAUCGCCGAAAGAUCGGCCCGCGUCAGAUUAGCUUGUUGGUGAGGUAAUGGCUCACCAAGGCGACGAUCUGUAGCUGGUCUGAGAGGAUGAUCAGCCACACUGGGACUGAGACACGGCCCAGACUCCUACGGGAGGCAGCAGUGGGGAAUAUUGGACAAUGGGCGAAAGCCUGAUCCAGCCAUGCCGCGUGGGUGAAGAAGGCCUUAGGGUUGUAAACCCCUUUCAGCGGGGAAGAUAAUGACGGUACCCGCAGAAGAAGCUCCGGCUAACUCCG